CCUACGGGAGGCUGCAGUGGGGAAUAUUGGACAAUGGGGGAAACCCUGAUGCAGCGACGCCGCGUGAGUGAAGAAGGAAUUAGUUAUGUAAAGCUCUAUCAGCAGGGAAGAAAAUGACGGUACGUGAGUAGGAAGGCCCGGCUAACGACGUGCCAGCAGCCGCGGUAAUACGUAGGGGGCAAGCGUUAUCCGGAUUUACUGGGUGUAAAGGGAGCGUAGACGGCAGUGCAAGAGUGGAGUGAAAGGCGGGGGCUCAACCCCCGGACUGCUGUGGAAACUGGACGGCUGGAGGGCAGGAGAGGUAAGUGGAAUUCCUAGUGUAGCGGUGAAAUGCGUAGAUAUUAGGAGGAACACCAGUGGCGAAGGCGGCUUACUGGACUGUAACUGACGUUGAGGCUCGAAAGCGUGGGGAGCAAACAGGAUUAGAUACCCGAGUAGUC
rnacentral:rRNA from 1 species